rnacentral:rRNA from 1 species
AGAAUCAACGCUGGCGGCGUGCCUAACACAUGCAAGUCGAUCGAGAAAGUGGAGCAAUCCAUGAGUAAAGAGGCGCACGGGUGAGUAACACGUGACUAACCUACCUUCGAGUGGGGAAUAACCUGGGGAAACCCGGGCUAAUACCGCAUAAUACCUACGGGUCAAAGGAGCAAUUCGCUUGAAGAGGGGGUCGCGGCAGAUUAGUUAGUUGGCGUGGUAAUGGCCCACCAAGACGAUGAUCUGUAUCCGGCCUGAGAGGGCGCACGGACACACUGGAACUGAAACACGGUCCAGACUCCUACGGGAGGCAGCAGUGGGGAAUUUUGCGCAAUGGGGGAAACCCUGACGCAGCAACGCCGCGUGGAGGAUGAAGUCCCUUGGGACGUAAACUCCUUUCGACCGGGACGAUUAUGACGGUACCGGAUGAAGAGCCCCGGCUAACUUCGUGCCAGUAGCCGC